UUAAGCGACUAAGCGUACACGGUGGAUGCCCUGGCAGUCAGAGGCGAUGAAGGACGUGCUAAUCUGCGAUAAGCGUCGGUAAGGUGAUAUGAACCGUUAUAACCGGCGAUUUCCGAAUGGGGAAACCCAGUGUGUUUCGACACACUAUCAUUAACUGAAUCCAUAGGUUAAUGAGGCGAACCGGGGGAACUGAAACAUCUAAGUACCCGAGGAAAAGAAAUCAACCGAGAUUCCCCCAGUAGCGGCGAGCGAACGGGGAGCAGCCCAGAGCCUGAAUCAGUGUGUGUGUUAGUGGAAGCGUCUGGAAAGGCGCGCGAUACAGGGUGACAGCCCCGUACACAAAAAUGCACAUGCUGUGAGCUCGAUGAGUAGGGCGGGACACGUGGUAUCCUGUCUGAAUAUGGGGGGACCAUCCUCCAAGGCUAAAUACUCCUGACUGACCGAUAGUGAACCAGUACCGUGAGGGAAAGGCGAAAAGAACCCCGGCGAGGGGAGUGAAAAAGAACCUGAAACCGUGUACGUACAAGCAGUGGGAGCACGCUUAGGCGUGUGACUGCGUACCUUUUGUAUAAUGGGUCAGCGACUUAUAUUCUGUAGCAAGGUUAACCGAAUAGGGGAGCCGAAGGGAAACCGAGUCUUAACUGGGCGUUAAGUUGCAGGGUAUAGACCCGAAACCCGGUGAUCUAGCCAUGGGCAGGUUGAAGGUUGGGUAACACUAACUGGAGGACCGAACCGACUAAUGUUGAAAAAUUAGCGGAUGACUUGUGGCUGGGGGUGAAAGGCCAAUCAAACCGGGAGAUAGCUGGUUCUCCCCGAAAGCUAUUUAGGUAGCGCCUCGUGAAUUCAUCUCCGGGGGUAGAGCACUGUUUCGGCAAGGGGGUCAUCCCGACUUACCAACCCGAUGCAAACUGCGAAUACCGGAGAAUGUUAUCACGGGAGACACACGGCGGGUGCUAACGUCCGUCGUGAAGAGGGAAACAACCCAGACCGCCAGCUAAGGUCCCAAAGUCAUGGUUAAGUGGGAAACGAUGUGGGAAGGCCCAGACAGCCAGGAUGUUGGCUUAGAAGCAGCCAUCAUUUAAAGAAAGCGUAAUAGCUCACUGGUCGAGUCGGCCUGCGCGGAAGAUGUAACGGGGCUAAACCAUGCACCGAAGCUGCGGCAGCGACACUAUGUGUUGUUGGGUAGGGGAGCGUUCUGUAAGCCUGUGAAGGUGUACUGUGAGGUAUGCUGGAGGUAUCAGAAGUGCGAAUGCUGACAUAAGUAACGAUAAAGCGGGUGAAAAGCCCGCUCGCCGGAAGACCAAGGGUUCCUGUCCAACGUUAAUCGGGGCAGGGUGAGUCGACCCCUAAGGCGAGGCCGAAAGGCGUAGUCGAUGGGAAACAGGUUAAUAUUCCUGUACUUGGUGUUACUGCGAAGGGGGACGGAGAAGGCUAUGUUGGCCGGGCGACGGUUGUCCCGGUUUAAGCGUGUAGGCUGGUUUUCCAGGCAAAUCCGGAAAAUCAAGGCUGAGGCGUGAUGACGAGGCACUACGGUGCUGAAGCAACAAAUGCCCUGCUUCCAGGAAAAGCCUCUAAGCAUCAGGUAACAUCAAAUCGUACCCCAAACCGACACAGGUGGUCAGGUAGAGAAUACCAAGGCGCUUGAGAGAACUCGGGUGAAGGAACUAGGCAAAAUGGUGCCGUAACUUCGGGAGAAGGCACGCUGAUAUGUAGGUGAAGUCCCUCGCGGAUGGAGCUGAAAUCAGUCGAAGAUACCAGCUGGCUGCAACUGUUUAUUAAAAACACAGCACUGUGCAAACACGAAAGUGGACGUAUACGGUGUGACGCCUGCCCGGUGCCGGAAGGUUAAUUGAUGGGGUUAGCCGCAAGGCGAAGCUCUUGAUCGAAGCCCCGGUAAACGGCGGCCGUAACUAUAACGGUCCUAAGGUAGCGAAAUUCCUUGUCGGGUAAGUUCCGACCUGCACGAAUGGCGUAAUGAUGGCCAGGCUGUCUCCACCCGAGACUCAGUGAAAUUGAACUCGCUGUGAAGAUGCAGUGUACCCGCGGCAAGACGGAAAGACCCCGUGAACCUUUACUAUAGCUUGACACUGAACAUUGAGCCUUGAUGUGUAGGAUAGGUGGGAGGCUUUGAAGUGUGGACGCCAGUCUGCAUGGAGCCGACCUUGAAAUACCACCCUUUAAUGUUUGAUGUUCUAACGUGGACCCGUGAUCCGGGUUGCGGACAGUGUCUGGUGGGUAGUUUGACUGGGGCGGUCUCCUCCUAAAGAGUAACGGAGGAGCACGAAGGUUGGCUAAUCCUGGUCGGACAUCAGGAGGUUAGUGCAAUGGCAUAAGCCAGCUUGACUGCGAGCGUGACGGCGCGAGCAGGUGCGAAAGCAGGUCAUAGUGAUCCGGUGGUUCUGAAUGGAAGGGCCAUCGCUCAACGGAUAAAAGGUACUCCGGGGAUAACAGGCUGAUACCGCCCAAGAGUUCAUAUCGACGGCGGUGUUUGGCACCUCGAUGUCGGCUCAUCACAUCCUGGGGCUGAAGUAGGUCCCAAGGGUAUGGCUGUUCGCCAUUUAAAGUGGUACGCGAGCUGGGUUUAGAACGUCGUGAGACAGUUCGGUCCCUAUCUGCCGUGGGCGCUGGAGAACUGAGGGGGGCUGCUCCUAGUACGAGAGGACCGGAGUGGACGCAUCACUGGUGUUCGGGUUGUCAUGCCAAUGGCACUGCCCGGUAGCUAAAUGCGGAAGAGAUAAGUGCUGAAAGCAUCUAAGCACGAAACUUGCCCCGAGAUGAGUUCUCCCUGACCCUUUAAGGGUCCUGAAGGAACGUUGAAGACGACGACGUUGAUAGGCCGGGUGUGUAAGCGCAGCGAUGCGUUGAGCUAACCGGUACUAAUGAACCGUGAGGCUUAACCUU
rnacentral:rRNA from 1 species